CGUGCCGGCAGCGAGCGCGAACACUAGCACCGACGCUAGCACGGUUCCUUUAGUCGGGCGGUCGCCCUGGAAGACGUACGAGACGGCGUCCAUCGCACUGGCCGCAAGUUUGCACAGAAUAGCGAACACGGUGCGUGGUCACUGUCGAAGUUCACACAGUGGCCUGUGUCAGCACAGUUGUCCGAGCGGUGUCUUUGGGCGCCACAUUUCACACAGCUGGGGGAACCUCAGACACUUCUUCCUCGUCCUGUCUGGGUUCUGCAAGCGGCGUUACACCUGUCUCGGCGCUGUCCGGGCGGCUUCCUCGGGACGGGUACGUCAGUUCACUCAAUGUCGACCUGGGUUCAUCAACAGCCGGCGGCACGGGCUGUAAAACGUCGCCUUCUGCCCCAUCAAGUGGCAACGAGGAGUCAUUCACCGGUGUGUCGAUUAAGGUGACGAGGGCAUUGCCCUCCGCUGACGUGCUGUUUGCAUCGGAUAUAAGUACGGAAUACCAUCGCGGAGUGUACGGGCCUUUGCUUCUUGAGGAGGCGUAAGCCACA